rnacentral:rRNA from 1 species
CGGGCCGCUCCAGCAGUGGGGAAUAUUGGACAAUGGGGGAAACCCUGAUCCAGCAAUGCCGCGUGUGUGAAGAAGGCCUGCGGGCUGUAAAGCACUUUCGGUUGGGAGGACUGCUUCUAGCACUAAUAUUGUUGGAAGUUGACGUUACCUUCAGAAGAAGCACCGGCUAACUCCGUGCCAGCAGCCGCGGUAAUACGGAGGGUGCAGGCGUUAAUCGGAAUUACUGGGCGUAAAGCGCGCGUAGGCGGCUAGAUCAGUCGGGUGUGAAAGCCCCGGGCUUAACCUGGGAACUGCAUCCGAUACUGUCUAGCUUGAGUACAGGAGAGGAGAGUGGAAUUCCACAUGUAGCGGUGAAAUGCGUAGAUAUGUGGAGGAACACCAAUGGCGAAGGCAGCUCUCUGGCCUGAUACUGACGCUGAGGUGCGAAAGCGUGGGGAGCAAACAGGAUUAGAUACCCGCGUAGUC